rnacentral:tRNA from 1 species
GCCUCGUUAGCUCAGCGGUAGAGCGCUGCUAUGACAUGGCAGAUGACGGUGGUUCAAACCCAUCACGAGGCACCA